rnacentral:rRNA from 1 species
AGUGAACGCUGGCGGUAGGCCUAACACAUGCAAGUCGAACGGCAACACAGUAAGAGCUUGCUCUUACGGGUGGCGAGUGGCGGACGGGUGAGGCAUACAUCGGAAUCUACUUUUUCGUGGGGGAUAACGUAGGGAAACUUACGCUAAUACCGCAUACGACCUACGGGUGAAAGCAGGGGAUCUUCGGACCUUGCGCGAUUGAAUGAGCCGAUGUCGGAUUAGCUAGUUGGCGGGGUAAAGGCCCACCAAGGCGACGAUCCGUAGCUGGUCUGAGAGGAUGAUCAGCCACACUGGAACUGAGACACGGUCCAGACUCCUACGGGAGGCAGCAGUGGGGAAUAUUGGACAAUGGGCGCAAGCCUGAUCCAGCCAUACCGCGUGGGUGAAGAAGGCCUUCGGGUUGUAAAGCCCUUUUGUUGGGAAAGAAAAGCAGCAGGUUAAUACCCCGCUGUUCUGACGGUACCCAAAGAAUAAGCACCGGCUAACUUCGUG